rnacentral:rRNA from 1 species
GAUGAACGCUGGCGGCGUGCUUAACACAUGCAAGUCGAACGGAAAGGCCCAAGCUUGCUAGGGUACUCGAGUGGCGAACGGGUGAGUAACACGUGGGUGAUCUGCCCUGCACUUCGGGAUAAGCCUGGGAAACUGGGUCUAAUACCGGAUAGGACGAUGGUUUGGAUGCCAUUGUGGAAAGUUUUUUCGGUGUGGGAUGAGCUCGCGGCCUAUCAGCUUGUUGGUGGGGUAAUGGCCUACCAAGGCGUCGACGGGUAGCCGGCCUGAGAGGGUGUACGGCCACAUUGGGACUGAGAUACGGCCCAGACUCCUACGGGAGGCAGCAGUGGGGAAUAUUGCACAAUGGGCGCAAGCCUGAUGCAGCGACGCCGCGUGGGGGAUGACGGCCUUCGGGUUGUAAACUCCUUUCGCUAGGGACGAAGCGUUUUUGUGACGGUACCUGGAGAAGAAGCACCGGCUAACUACGUG